rnacentral:tRNA from 1 species
UCCCUGGUGGCUCAGAUGGUAAAGUAUCUGCCUGCAACACAGAAGACCUGGGUUCAAUCCCUGGGUUGGGAA